rnacentral:misc_RNA from 1 species
UCUCCGUAGGUGAACCUGCGGAGGGAUCAUUACCGAGUGAGGGCUAAUAGCUCGACCUCCAACCCUUUGUAAUCAAUACUUUGUUGCCUCGGGGGUGACCCGGAGCUUUUGGCGUCGGCGCCCCCGGUGGACCAUUGAUUAAAACUCUGCAUCUUUGCGUCGAGUUUAAAAGAUAAUAUAUUUUAAAACUUUCAACAACGGAUCUCUUGGUUCUG